CAGGCUGCCUUUUACCUCUCCCCCUCAGGCUUUCCAUCUGAUGGUCCCCUGGUGUGUGCCCUGGAACAGGAGCGAAGGCUCCGCCUCCCUCCGAAGCCACCUCCCCCUUUACAGCCCCUUCUCCGAGGUGGGCAAGGGUUGGAAGCUGCUCUAAGCUGCCCCCGUUUUCUGCGGUAUCCACGGCAGCAUCUGAUCAGCAGCCUGGCAGGUGCUGGAGGGGGUUAAAAUCAGAUGGGGGUGGGGAGGGUUGACAGGAGGAGGAAGGUGGGCUCAGUUGGCUGGGUUGAGGUGGAAUUGAGCCACCUGGAGGUCCGGCUGAGGCCCAGCGUGACAGGCUGUUCUUCACAGAGGCAAGGCCAGAGGAACUGACUCCCCACGUGAUGGUGCUCCUGGCCCAGCACCUGGCCCGGCACCGGUUGCGGGAGCCCCAGCUUCUGGAAGCCAUUGCCCACUUCCUGGUGGUUCAGGAAACGCAACUCAGCAGCAAGGUGGUACAGAAGUUGGUCCUGCCCUUUGGGCGACUGAACUACCUGCCCCUGGAACAGCAGUUUAUGCCCUGCCUUGAGAGGAUCCUGGCUCGGGAAGCAGGGGUGGCACCCCUGGCUACAGUCAACAUCUUGAUGUCACUGUGCCAACUGCGGUGCCUGCCCUUCAGAGCCCUGCACUUUGUUUUUUCCCCUGGCUUCAUCAACUACAUCAGUGGUAC
rnacentral:sRNA from 1 species